rnacentral:SRP_RNA from 1 species
UGCCGGUCCCCUCGCAACGAUACACUGCGAACUCCGCCAGGUCCGGAAGGAAGCAACGGUAGUAGUCGACUCGUGUGCCGGGGUGUGGCUGGUAGGG